UUCUUUUACAGCACUCCUACAAUAAGACAUUAUGUACAAGGUCAGAAAAGCAACUUUGAAAUACAGUAGUGGUACCAAACCUCUUGAGAAAAAAGAGUGUUUUCUUAGUAUGCUAUUCCAACAAGAACUCCAGUUAACUUAACGUGGUGAUUGCAGGUACAUUCGGCAAAUGGGGCUACAUCAACAACACAAUCAAGAGUGGAGGACUCCAGUAACAAAACGCAUAACACCAACAACCCAACAAUUCAUUCUAGAGUAAGUGAAACUAUUGGUGAAAAACUCAUGACCUGGCAAAAAAUUGAGAAACAUACAUCUUGAGAACUCUGCUGCAGACAUUGGAAGAAAUGCAAAACGAAGCUACACCAAGCGAAGAAGGCGCAACAGAACUGAACCCCUGGAAAACAGACAUGUUUGCCCACAUGAAUUUGGAACAGGUGGGCACAUUAAUAAAAUUUCAGAAACAAGUACAUAUCAUACAAGUUGAAACUAGUAAGAAUAAUAAAUCGGAAACAAAAUGCUAAGUAUCCAGGAGACUGAAGAUGUUCACCCCAGUUCAGCAGCAACAAAAGCAAACUCAAACACUUGCCACAGCAAUGAAGAAAGAGAAAGGGGAGAAUCAGAGCACUCACACAAAUGCAAAUUCCGAAGAUGAUACUAAUGUAACGUCCUGGCGAGAGACUUUCCGAAGCUUACCCAUUAAACUAAAACCUAUAAAUUGCAGAGCUAAAGCAUGAGUAUUACACUAAAAAUUAGGGCGGAAAUUACACUAUAAAUACAGAAAUAAAAGCAAGGGGGCUUAGACUGUAAAUCUGGGAUAACACUACAUUAUUGGGAACAUUACACUGUAAAUACAUAGAAUAAGCAAGGCGUUUAAAACUAGGGUUACACUGGAAUUCUUGGGAAGAUUACACUGUAAACAGGACAUAGUUCAUAACUGCACCACAACGACACUCGAACAAUCAACAAGAAUGAAAGCCAAAAUUUCAGGAAUUACAUAACCGAAUCAUACAAAAUUACACUGUAAAAAAUGGGACACAUUAUAACUCUGGGAUAACAUGUAAGCAACAUGUGAAUUACACAGUAACUCUGGGGGUAAUUACAUUGAAACUCUGGGACAAAUUGCACAACAACUCUAAGGUAUAUUACACUGGAACUCUGGGGUAAUUACACAGUAACUCUAGGGUAAUCACAGUGUGUAAAACUCUAGGGUCAAGUACAUAAUAAGCAUGAGAAUUACACGGUAACUCUGGGGGGAAUUACACUGCAACUCAGGGAAAUUACACAGUAACUCUGGCCUAUAUUACACUGAAACUCUGGACAUAAUUACGCAGUAACUCUAGGAUAAUUACACUACAGAAACAUAAGUAAAAUACAGGCUCAAUACAAAUAGAGUUACACUGCAAAUCCUGGUUGGUUCAAUCAACCAGGAGCAUUAGAAAAAUGAAAGAAUAGAGGAAUUGAAGUGCAAAGCACAUAAAAGUACAGAGAAAAGCGCAUGAUUCAAUAGAAAAUCUAGAUAACCUACAUGAACUUCAGAAAACAAAUACUAGCAAAAGAACACAUAAAUUAUUGUGCUUACACUCUAAUACAUGAGCACUGAAAAAAAUACAUUGAUAAGAACCAACACUCACAAACUAGGGGUAAGUACAGGGCUAGAACACAGGGGGAAAUAGAAAAUAUAACCUGGAAAAUACACCAAAAACAGAGCUAACUGGAGGCUGGGGUAAGUCUGAUACACCCAGAGGCCAUUGAUAACACUCAGAAGUCAUGGAACCUGUGCACUGCAUGCAGUAGAGGCCACUGGUAACAACUAACUACAACUAAACCUACCAAAAUUCAUGUAUCUACAACAAAAAACCAACAGGAUCCAUGAACAUAAAGACCACCUGCCAGCGCAAGUCACCAAACUCUAACCACAAAAACACUCAUCUGAAACCCUGCAUCUAAUCCAUACAUCUACAUCUAACAAAAAAUCGAGACAACUACCAGCGCCUACACAAGAGUAGAUGGGGAACAAUGGAGGAUUACGCAUGCCAGGAAGCAGAGCCAACCGCUAAAACUACAAGCACCUACCACGAAUCUACAACAACACGGCGGCUACAAACACCAAUCACGAACCCACAAAGAAAUCACGGCAGCAAUUCACCUAGAUCUGGAAAGCCACACACCCAGAAACAAUCAAAAAUCAUGCGCGGGAGGGAGAAUGACGAGGCCGACCAACCGAAGACGUCAUGAAUCGAAGAGGAAGGGGAGAGAAAUCAAACUCGACAGGUGGGGGGAGGAGGGUCUCAGAAUCGACAUGAACAACACGAAUCGCCUGGUCUCCUCCUCCUCCGCUCGAGUGCCCCUU
rnacentral:lncRNA from 1 species